rnacentral:rRNA from 1 species
UACGUAGGGGGCGAGCGUUGUCCGGAAUUAUUGGGCGUAAAGAGCGUGUAGGCGGCCAGGUAGGUCUGCUGUGAAAACUCGAGGCUCAACCUCGAGACGUCGGCGGAAACCAUCUGGCUAGAGUCCGGAAGAGGAGAGUGGAAUUCCUGGUGUAGCGGUGAAAUGCGCAGAUAUCAGGAGGAACACCAGUAGCGAAGGCGGCUCGCUGGGCCAUUCCUGACGCUGAGACGCGAAAGCUAGGGGAGCGAACAGG